CCUCGGCUGUCGAUAAAGUAGUACUGCACGCGUAAGGCGCACGCAUGCGCACUAGUUUUUCCAUGCUCACUGCUGCCCUCGGGUGUCGACACGCCAGUACUGCAGCCACGACUGCCCUCCCCCGCGUACAAAGAAUACUGCAGCCAGCCGGCGCGCACCGCCGAUCGCUGUGUUCGCCGUUACUCUCCGGUGCUCCGGGAACGGGGCCCCGGUUCCUCCCCAGYGCGGGCCGGGGCGCGCGCUCGCCCCUGCAGACGCAGCCCGGAGGAACGGGGAGGCAGGCGAGCCCCGGAGUGGGCUUGUGGCGCGGCGUCCGCGGGAGGACGGCUCCUGUGGCGGCAGGCACACCCGAGAGUGCUGAUUGAUUGCCAUGGCUGAAGUUGAAGAGACCAGAAAAACGUCAGCAAGCUGAAGUGAUGAAAUCAAACGGAACCGACUGAGAGCUGUCUCCAUCGCCCAAAAAGGGAAAGCCCGUUCCUCCUGGUGAGGAAAGAUCACCAUUAAUAGCGAUCGGAAUAAUAGAUCACCAACAUAUAAGGUCUGAAGGUCUGUACGCAUUACGAAAAGUAUGCUACGUACGUAUAUUUCUGCGCGUGUGACUUUAUGUGUAUACGAGGCAUCAUGCUUUAAGAGCUACAAGACAGCAAACUAUUAUCUUGGGGGAAUGGUGGUCAAGUGGCCAGAGUCUCUGAAGAGACAGAGAGACAGAAGUGUCCGAACUGUAAAAUUAAGAGAUCGCUUUCAGGAAGGCUUGGUUAGCACGCCCCCAGGUUAAUUAAUCCUCACAUCCCCUUUGGGGCCACAACMGAAAUUCUCCAGCUGCGAGAAAGACUGUUUAGCAGCAGUCUGGUCUGUAACUGUCUUUGAGACUUUUCCCUUUGAGAGCACCGAGGCAAUCCCAUCUGCUCAAUUCCCUCUGUAGUAGCUAAUGUCAGGGAAGCAAAUAGACAGCGGAGUAUCAUCUAUCCAAGUGGCACAGGGGGCACUAAUCUUAACGAGCGGGGUGGGGGGGUUACUGUGCAAACGUUACAAGAAGUGGAUCUUCUUGUGCGGGUCUGAAUUGACAGAGCACGGUUGUGCCAAAAACGUGGACGUGGAAGGUUUCCGAAAGAUUAAUCUCUAGUGGCUACUUAGUCUAACUUCCCCUUCACAGCAAGCCCRACUGUUGACAUAGCUUCCAAAAGAGGGGUUGGGGGAAGCAGUAUUUGUGGCUUGUGUAUUCUCGUUUGCCUUGCUUGUGUGCGUGUAUAGAGAUCUGUUUUUUGUGCUUAUAAACAACUUUGAAUUCUUAUGAUUCUCUGCAGAGCUUUGAAUCGUUUUUUUGUUUUGUGCUUUGCUUUAUACUUUUGUAGGGCGAUGGAUUUU
rnacentral:lncRNA from 1 species